rnacentral:rRNA from 1 species
CCUACGGGAGGCAGCAGUGAGGAAUAUUGGUCAAUGGACGCAAGUCUGAACCAGCCAUGCCGCGUGCAGGAAGACGGCUCUAUGAGUUGUAAACUGCUUUUGUACGAGGGUAAACGCAGAUACGCGUAUCUGUCUGAAAGUAUCGUACGAAUAAGGAUCGGCUAACUCCGUGCCAGCAGCCGCGGUAAUACGGAGGAUUCAAGCGUUAUCCGGAUUUAUUGGGUUUAAAGGGUGCGUAGGCGGUCCGGAAAGUCAGCGGUAAAAGCCCGGGGCUCAACCCCGGCGAGCCGUUGAAACUGUCGGACGAGAGACGGCGAGAAGUACGCGGAAUGCGCGGUGUAGCGGUGAAAUGCAUAGAUAUCGCGCAGAACUCCGAUUGCGAAGGCAGCGUACCGGCGCCGGACUGACGCUGAGGCACGAAAGCGUGGGUAUCGAACAGGAUUAGAUACCCCUGUAGUC